CCUACGGGAGGCAGCAGUGGGGAAUUUUGGACAAUGGGCGCAAGCCUGAUCCAGCCAUGCCGCGUGCAGGAUGAAGGCCUUCGGGUUGUAAACUGCUUUUGUACGGAACGAAAAGACUCCUUCUAAUAAAGGGGGUCCAUGACGGUACCGUAAGAAUAAGCACCGGCUAACUACGUGCCAGCAGCCGCGGUAAUACGUAGGGUGCGAGCGUUAAUCGGAAUUACUGGGCGUAAAGCGUGCGCAGGCGGUUAUAUAAGACAGAUGUGAAAUCCCCGGGCUCAACCUGGGAAUUGCAUUUGUGACUGUAUAGCUAGAGUACGGUAGAGGGGGAUGGAAUUCCGCGUGUAGCAGUGAAAUGCGUAGAUAUGCGGAGGAACACCGAUGGCGAAGGCAAUCCCCUGGGCCUGUACUGACGCUCAUGCACGAAAGCGUGGGGAGCAAACAGGAUUAGAUACCCUGGUAGUCCACGCCCUAAACGAUGUCAACUGG
rnacentral:rRNA from 1 species